rnacentral:rRNA from 1 species
UAAAGAAAGCGUAAUAGCUCACUGGUCGAGUCGGCCUGCGCGGAAGAUGUAACGGGGCUAAACCAUGCACCGAAGCUGCGGCAGCGACACUGUGUGUUGUUGGGUAGGGGAGCGUUCUGUAAGCCUGCGAAGGUGUGCUGUGAGGCAUGCUGGAGGUAUCAGAAGUGCGAAUGCUGACAUAAGUAACGAUAAAGCGGGUGAAAAGCCCGCUCGCCGGAAGAC